UCAGGUCCUCCCUGGGUCCAGUCUGGGUUGGAGAUGUCUGAUGCCCACGGUGCUCCUUUGGCAUCUUCACCUACUGCAGUAUAAUUUUUGCUUUGUUUCUGUUCCGGUGUGGUGUCCCACUGGCUCCGCUUCUUGCCUGGCUGAGAUAACAUGGACAUUAUCAAAAUGUGUUGAAGAGCUUGUGCAUCUUGGAUGGUUUUAUUGACAGCAAAUUUCCUGCCAGCAGCUGAUAAAACAGCAUUACCUCUCCCUUAAGAUAAAACAUGAAUGACACUUGCCAUGAUAGGAAUGUUAUUAGUCAAUUACAGUUGGAAUGUUUAAUGACAUUAGAUUUCAUCAGAGCUUCAAAUCACAAGUAAAAAGAAUGAUUCUUU